rnacentral:rRNA from 1 species
AUUGAACGCUGGCGGCAGGCCUAACACAUGCAAGUCGAGCGAGUGGCGGGCGGGUGAGUAAUGUCUGGGAAACUGCCCGAUGGAGGGGGAUAACUACUGGAAACGGUAGCUAAUACCGCAUACCCUCGGAUGUGCCCAGAUGGGAUUAGAUUGUAGGUGGGGUAACGGCACCCGUAGGCGACGAUCCCUAGCGGGUCUGAGAGGAUGAACAGCCACACUGGAACUGAGACACGGUCCAGACUCCUACGGGAGUCAGCAGUGGGGAAUAUUGCACAAUGGGCGCAAGCCUGAUGCAGCCAUGCCGCGUGUAUGAAGAAGGCCUUCGGGUUGUAAAGUACUUUCAGCCGGGAGGCGUUACCCGCAGAAGAAGCACCGGCUAACUCCGUGCCAGCAGCCGCGGUAAUUC